UACGAAGGGGGCUAGCGUUGCUCGGAAUCACUGGGCGUAAAGGGUGCGUAGGUGGCUUGGUAAGUCAGUGGUGAAAGCCCGGAGCUCAACUCCGGAACUGCCAUUGAUACUGCUUAGCUUGAAUCAGGUCGAGGUGGAUGGAAUAUUACAUGUAGCGGUGAAAUGCUUAGAUAUGUAAUAGAACACCGAUUGCGAAGGCAGUUCACUAGGCCUGUAUUGACACUGAGGCACGAAAGCGUGGGGAUCAAACAGG
rnacentral:rRNA from 1 species